ACUGACGCAGGCUUCCUGGAUGGCUGCUGGAGGGAAAUUCCGUUGCUGAUUGGUUGGUCGCUUUGGCGCCGGAAUGACGUUUGGAUGACGUCCUUUGGGGAAGCCCUCGUUGGAUUGGUUGGUUGCCGGGUUACGGAAGAGGCUUCAGCAGUCCUGCUAAAAGGUCUGAGUUUGCAAGACUUUUAACAUCGUGUUUCUCUGAAGUG